rnacentral:tRNA from 1 species
AGGGGAGUAGCUCAAUUGGUAGAGCAGGGGCCUCCAAAGCCCAAGGUUGCGGGUUCGAGUCCUGUCUCCCCUGCCA